GUCUACAGCCAUACCACCUGAAUGUACCCAAUCUCUGUCUGAUCUCGAAAACUCAGCAGGGUCAGGCCUGGUUAGUACUUGGAUGGGAGACAAUCCAAAAGAUAUAGAUU
rnacentral:rRNA from 1 species